GACGUAGGGCGCGAGCGUUGUCCGGAUUUAUUGGGCGUAAAGAGCUCGUAGGUGGUUUGUCGCGUUGUCCGUGAAAACUCACAGCUUAACUGUGGGCGUGCGGGCGAUACGGGCAGACUGGAGUACUGCAGGGGAGACUGGAAUUCCUGGUGUAGCGGUGGGAAUGCGCAGAUAUCAGGAGGAACACCGGUGGCGAAGGCGCUCAUCUGGCCCGAUACUGACGCUGAGGCGCGAAAGCUAGGGUAGCGAACGGG
rnacentral:rRNA from 1 species